CCUACGGGAGGCAGCAGUGAGGAAUAUUGGUCAAUGGGCGAGAGCCUGAACCAGCCAAGUCGCGUGAAGGAUGACUGUCUUAUGGAUUGUAAACUUCUUUUGUAGGGGAAUAAAGACUAGUACGUGUACUGGAGUGAAUGUACCCUACGAAUAAGCAUCGGCUAACUCCGUGCCAGCAGCCGCGGUAAUACGGAGGAUGCGAGCGUUAUCCGGAUUUAUUGGGUUUAAAGGGUGCGUAGGCGGCCUGUUAAGUCAGCGGUGAAAUCUAGGAGCUUAACUCCUAAAUUGCCAUUGAUACUGGCGGGCUUGAGUGUAGAUGAGGUAGGCGGAAUGCGUGGUGUAGCGGUGGAAUGCAUAGAUAUCACGCAGAACUCCGAUUGCGAAGGCAGCUUACUAAGGUACAACUGACGCUGAAGCACGAAAGCGUGGGUAUCAAACAGGAUUAGAUACCCCAGUAGUC
rnacentral:rRNA from 1 species